GAUCAUGGCUCAGGAUGAACGCUAGCUACAGGCUUAACACAUGCAAGUCGAGGGGCAGCAUCAUCAAAGCUUGCUUUGAUGGAUGGCGACCGGCGCACGGGUGAGUAACACGUAUCCAACCUGCCGACAACACUGGGAUAGCCUUUCGAAAGAAAGAUUAAUACCUGAUGGUAUAGUUUUCCCGCAUGGGAUAAUUAUUAAAGAAUUUCGGUUGUCGAUGGGGAUGCGUUCCA
rnacentral:rRNA from 1 species